rnacentral:rRNA from 1 species
UGCAGUCGAACGGUAAGGCCCCUUCGGGGGUACACGAGUGGCGAACGGGUGAGUAACACGUGGGUGAUCUGCCCUGCACUCUGGGAUAAGCCUGGGAAACUGGGUCUAAUACCGGAUAUGAGCUCCUGUCGCAUGGCGGGGGUUGGAAAGGUUUACUGGUGCAGGAUGGGCCCGCGGCCUAUCAGCUUGUUGGUGGGGUAAUGGCCUACCAAGGCGACGACGGGUAGCCGGCCUGAGAGGGCGACCGGCCACACUGGGACUGAGACACGGCCCAGACUCCUACGGGAGGCAGCAGUGGGGAAUAUUGCACAAUGGGCGAAAGCCUGAUGCAGCGACGCCGCGUGAGGGAUGACGGCCUUCGGGUUGUAAACCUCUUUCAGCAGGGACGAAGCGAGAGUGACGGUACCUGCAGAAGAAGCACCGGCCAACUACGUGCCAG